UGUCGGUUCUCUCGCAAUGAUAGCUUGUUAAUCUGGUCAGGCCCGGAAGGGAGCAGCCACAGCAAGUGACUCAUGUGCCGGGGUGUAGCUGGCGAGG
rnacentral:SRP_RNA from 1 species